UACGUAGGGUGCAAGCGUUGUCCGGAAUUAUUGGGCGUAAAGAGCUUGUAGGCGGUUUGUCGCGUUGUUCGUGAAAACUCACAGCUCAACUGUGGGCGUGCGGGCGAUACGGGCAGACUGGAGUACUGCAGGGGAGACUGGAAUUCCUGGUGUAGCGGUGGAAUGCGCAGAUAUCAGGAAGAACACCCGUGGCUAAGGCGGUUCUCUAGUACGGUACUGACGCUGAGACGCGAAAGCGUGGGGAGCGAACAGG
rnacentral:rRNA from 1 species